rnacentral:rRNA from 1 species
AACGAACGCUGGCGGCAUGCCUAACACAUGCAAGUCGAACGAGACCUUCGGGUCUUUUUGCGCACGGGUGCGUAACGCGUGGGAACCUGCCCUUAGGUUCGGUAUAACUCCCCGAAAGGGGUGCUAAUACCGGAUAAUGUCUUCGGACCAAUGAUUUAUUGCCUCUGGAUGGGCCCGCGUUGGAUUAGCUAGUUGGUAGGGUAAAAGCCUACCAAGGCUACGAUCCAUAGCUGGUCUGAGAGGAUGAUCAGCCACACUGGGACUGAGACACGGCUCAGACUCCUACGGGAGGCAGAAGUUGGGAAUAUUGGACGAUGGGCGAGAGACUGAUCCAGCCAUGCCGUGUGAGUGAGGAAGGCCUUAGGGUUGUAAAGCUCUUUUGCCCGGGAUGAUAGUGACAGUACCGGGAGAAUAAGCUCCGGCUAACUCCGUG